CGAACCUGUGAUAAGGUACUUUGCCGUGGCGAGCACCAUUAUUGCAAGGAUGACCCUGACCUCUAUUGGCCAAACACUGCAAAAAGAUCAAGCGCAUCAUUCAACACUGCUGAUGCUGCAUUAUACACUGAAGAACUCUCCUGGGAUUCUUGGUUUUCUUUGGGAACACAGAUGGCAGAUCCAGGUCAGUUUCCCUUGCCAAGUUUUGCAGGCCACCAUGUUAUCCAUUCUGUUCAGCUAUUUAGAAAAUGUUGAAUAUCAACAAUGGCUUUCACUGCGGCAUUGUUGGCUUUUGUAUGAAGCAAUCUUGGCUGAAUGUGAUGGCUCGGCGUGCAGGGAGGGCUCACUGCCGAAUGAGAAUCUUCCUGCCUCUCUCUUCCCUCUGGGCUCUGAGCUGCACAACUGGAGGGUCUCACGGGCUUCUCAAGCGCUGCUCACACGAUAUCUCCAAGCCCCCCUGAAGAUGCUGAGAGAGGGAUGAAGAGGGACGAGUGAAGGCGUGAAGGUUGAUAUCUGCGUCACGCCCGGCCCUGCAAGCAGAAUUACUCUUAAGAUGUAGACACAUAAAACAGGUGAGAGAAAGUGACGCCAGGAUUGGUCGGCUGUCUGUUCCAUAUUCAGCAGCUCUGGAUGAGGCAGUGGGCCUGCUGGGAAAACGGUGUCGUAAUCAGGAGCCGAUCGCUCUGCCUGAUCAGCUGAAGCUGGUCAGUUCCCCAGCAUCAUCAGAGUGCCCUCAUUGUCCAUCAGUCCACAGUGUCUGGUCAUGGGGCAGCCCUGCACCCACCCACCCAUACUGCUCACCGUGGGAAGCAGCACAUCAAGAAGAAUUGGGCAUGUUUGGCUCAGGUAACAUGGCGGGGGAGGGGAGGAACAUGGAUGGAUGGAUGAAGGGACAGAGAGAGAGAGAGAGUACAAAAACUAGAGAGUAUAAUCCUGGGGUAGGGGACUCCAAAGGUGAGCAUGAGCAUGAACAAGUAUUUUAUAUGUGUUUAUGUAAGUGUGCAUGUUGACCCAUAUGUAUAUGCAUUAUUGUGUGUGUGUGUGUGGGAUGGUAUCCCUCGGGAAAUAGAACUGUGGGAAUAUGCGUCCCAAGCAGGACUACUGCUCCCAAGGGAGCACCUCUUUUCGGAAGCCACACACACACACACAUACACACAGACACACACAAACACACACAGAGAGAGAGAGAGAGAGAGAGAGAGAGAGAGGGAGGCAAAAGGUGAAGGUUUCAUGUGGACCAGGAUUUCAUUAUUCUCCAUGUACAGUCCAACAUACAUACACACACACACACACACACACGCAACAGGUCAGCAGUGGCUCAACAACCAGUAGCCCCUUUGCUUGAGAGACAAUAUACACUCUUCCCCCUAGAGAGAUGAGAGAUGGACAUGGUGUCACUCAAAGCUGACAAGCAGAUCACUGAAAAGCCUUUUGUGUUACUAUGUGUGUUCCUGUGUGUUUGGGUGUUCAACCUCUUAUCACACUCUGCUUGUACGAUCAUUAUAGUGUAUUUAUCUUUUUUUGUAAGAUAUUUUUUUAAAGAAUAAAAUAAAUACCAACCAGGUGAUACAUUUUCAGCUACAGAUUAUCUUUUUGUAAUUUUAUUUAUAAUUUAAUUGAUUUAUUUAAUUAGAUACUUUAUUUAAUAAUUUAUUUAUUAUUGUAUAAUUUAUAAUAUUUUAUAUUUAUAAUUUAUUAUAUAAUAUAUAAAAUUAUAUAAUAUCACCACAGACAGCUAUUUUUAAAUAUUUUCCUGAGAAAAGUCCCUUAUAAUGGAACUCUAAGGGCAUUUGGUUCAAUCCAUCAAUAUACUAUAUAUCAGUCAGAUUCAAAACAAUAAUUCCAGUCUAAAAUAAAGUAAGAUAAGACAGAUGAGAGAAUAUCUUACCAGAGCUGUUCUUACAGAAUGGUGCCAAAUUAAAUUGAAAAAUCUCUGUUAUUCAUCUGUGGGAAUUUUGCUGGCAUGGUCAGUGUGCACUUUUCUUUUUAGAGAGAAGUGAUAGCUCUCAGUUUUUCUAACUGAUGACUUUUAUCCUACGAUAAAUCAUCCCUACAGUAACAGGAGUGCUCCAGGAUGAUAUUCCUGGAUUAAUAUGUCACCCACGUCCCCAUCUGCAGUUCAUAAGGGGUUCAUGAAUGUUUUGAUGAGGAUAAAAAUGAUUUUAUAUAAAUUUACUGCCAACAGAUUUGAACCCAACUGUAAACAUAUGUGAGUUCAGAGUGACUUUCAUCAUCUAAAUCUUUAACAUCAGCCACCAUCAUCAUCAAGGGAAAGAAUGACUUUAGGAGGAAUGAUGUUAUUCGCUCAUGUACAACUCAUGUACAGAGAUUUGUAGGAUCUGUUCCAAGUCAUAUUGAAGCUGGUGGCUUGAGUAACCCAACAAUGUUACUAAGACACUUGAGGGUAUUUCACACUGCGUUUAACCCCCGCUUUUAACCCCAGGUAGAGGAACGAUUCACACUUGUAAUUUAGAUAUGGAGUUAGCACUGCCUUUGCACCUGAGGUUAUGAAAUCCUGCCAGAUUUGUACAGUGUGAAAUGAUGUGGUGUUAGAUUAUUAUAGGUACAUGCUUAGCAACAGAUUCCCAAUCAGACAUCGGACAGCGUGUACCUCAUAUCAGGUGAGAACCAGCAACACAUAGCCACGGCUCGGUAGCAUCAGGCAGCAAAACACUCGGAAGUACAUGCUAUAGUGAGGAGGAAAUAUCCAACACUGUACAAUAUGUUGGAGCUGGAUAAGGUCAACUAUGCAACAAACCUUAAAAAUGCCAAAAGAAAAAAGAUUAGAAAGCUGUGAUGCUAAAACUUGAGACAAGCCGUUAUUUCUAUUGUAGUCUAUUGUAGCCAAUGCAGUUGACUGAAAAUAUGCAGAUUAGUACGUGAACCCAGGGUUUAAGAAAGUACAGUGUGAAUAGUCAGGAUUAAUUGAAAAUUAUGAAACAUGAAGCAAGAUAACCCAGGAUUCCUUUCACUCUGAGCGUAGGCUGACUGAGCGUUAACUAUUUCAAGUGUGAAAAGCUCUUUUAUGUUGCUUUUGCCUUCAAUAUGUUUGGGUGUAGUUGUGUUCAACUUUCCACAACUGAACCAACAUAGUAAAACCUCAUUGUGUUAAAUUGCUUGAGGUUUUGUGGUAUCCCUCAAACAGGUGCUAAUUGUGAAACAUUCAGGGACUUGUUUAUGCUCUACAUUGUACUCUGUAAAAGUAGCUGCAUAUCUGAAAGGCAGAAUCCUUACCGAGAAAUAUGUAGAAAUUAUUGUCCAGGUUAAAUGCUCAUAAAGAUGCAAGGUGAGAAAGAAAAUGCUAGAAUGUUUCUUUAUUAAAGCUGGAUGUGGAUUUAAGGUGAAAUGCUGAAUUAUUUGUUAUUAAAUGUAUUUUAGAGUGUUAUUGCUAUAAGUGGUGUUCAUUUUAUUAUUAUUUGUGUUGCAGCACGUUGCUCAGCACACUGGCAAAGCAGUACAUGCAGUACGCUGAUAAACUGUUCCUGCUCGACACCUGCUGAUUUAUAGAUUAGAUUAAAUCUGGGAAUGGCUGAGAGGAUUAAGUCACUGCUGCUUUCCAUGGAGCAGAAAAACACCUUGUCUGCUGUGGCAUGAGGCAGAGCCUGAGGGUCAGGGGGUCUUGUUUACCUGGGGCAGGCAUUUCCUCUGUGGGCUGAUAAGAGCAGGACAGGGGAAGUGGUCUGUCACAGGUGAGUGAAGAGAGAGAGAGAGAGAGAGAGAGAGGGAGAGAGAGAGAGAGAUGCAUGAGGAAGCCACCUAUGAUACCUGCUCUUACUAACAUGGAAACACACUAAACCAUCCUCAAAUAAGGUCAUAUGUGUGAUCUGUCUUGGUGUAGACAGACCAUGCAUAGUUUAGAUAGCAUGUGUGUGUGUGUGUGUGUGUGAGAGAGAGAGAGAGAGAGAGAGAGAAAUGAAAAAAAGUGAUGCUCAGACUCUUGUAAGUGUAUAUAUUGACAUGUUUGGCAGUUAGAAUGCAUCUUUUGUUUUGCUACAAAUUGUUAAAAAUCUGAAAAUCUGUAACACACGCAUGUCUACAAAAUGACUUCAAUCAAUCACUGCAAAAAAUGCAACCAAACAGGACCAAACCCUGUUACAGUGCAACUCACAGCAGCUAGUAUUGGUGACAUGCAAUAUGAGUUGAGCUUAGAUAUUUGUACCCACAAGGCACUGCCACAAGGCUGCAAACAGUGGAGGUGCUUAAAGUAAACAGUCCCAAGACAGAGGAGGCUCGGCUGAUGGAUGGAGGCUGAGUUUGUUUGUUUUUACUCUGGCCUUCCUCUUCCUCCAUUACCUGGGCUUGAGCGCUUCUCUGGCCCUCAGGUGCUGAGAGGAGCCGGUCAGCCUGAACGUGUUAACAAGAGAGGAUUCCUAGCAUCCACUGACAGACAUACGUGCAAGCAGCAUGGAGUAUAUCACUAACAAUAAGUUCUGCUUUCUGUAUGGUUAUGUCUUUAGUAUUAUUAUAAAAAUAUCAUGGCUUUCUUGUCAUUUAUUUUAUUGCAUGUGGUAACUACAGUAUAUGUGUGGUCAACCCCUCAUCCUGAGACAUCCCGCCUAUGGGCUGUCUGAUAUAUUUUGCCAUUUUCUGGCAUUGAGCUUCAGAAUCCUAUAGGUUUCAUUCUGAAUGACUCUCCACAUUUCUUUAUAUCUGCAUCCCUGUAUGCUGAUUUCCAACAGAAAUACUAAACAGAGCAUAAUGAAAUGAUUAGAGCAAGAUAUAAUCAUUAAAAUCAAACAUGUUUGCAUACAACUUAAUAUAGAACAGACAGACAGACAGACAGAUAGACAGAUAGAUAGAUAGAUAGAUAGAUAGAUAGAUAGAUAGAUAGAUAGAUAGAUAGAUAGAUAUUCUUUAGUGUCAUUGGACAGAGUACAAUACAGUUAUGUGUCAUGCCUUAUGGUGUAAGAAAAAAAGAAUAACAAAAGAUAAAGGAUAAAUAAAAGGAGUACAAAUAUUGACUAGCUGAUCAGACGGGACUGUCCAAUUGAGAUAUAAAGAAAUAGCAGCUAGUUAUUGCAUUUAACAAGAGAACCACGUGAACUCACUGUUCAUAUGUCCAAUAAUGUUGAUCUGCAAUGUUAGAUAUAGUGUUAGUGUUAUAUAAAAUUGUACUGAUUUGUUUAAUAUUGGUUUGUACUUUUGUGUGUAAUGUUUUAUAUAGUCUAUUUGUCACCUCCACUGUUUUUAUCCUGAAUUUGUAAUUUUGUGAUUAACAAUCAGGCAUUACUUUGCUAUAAAGUUGCUAAUAAAAGAUAAAAUGCACUGUAUUAUCAAUGCUUCCUGGCCAUGUUUCUUUCUCUAAUUCUAAAUCAUCAAUAAUAUUAAUGAACUUUACAUGAAUAUGAGUGAUUUAGUCAUUAAUAAGAGUAAAUCAUUUAGUUUGAAGCAGUUAGUGGUUAGUUAAUAAUAUCUUGCAUGUUUGGGAGGCUACAGGAAAAGCUCUGUGCUUACUCAUCUACCAUGUGAGUCAUGUUGAUUAGUAAUAGGAGACAGUAUUUGGUUAUGUCUAAGGACUAGAUGUACCAGAUUCCUUAAAUAUUAGCAGUCUUGUUUGUGAGAUUAGGCCAACCCCAGAAUUAAAAUGAAGUAUUUUUAGAUAGUCCUUGCAGGCCUGUGCUUUUAUAUUGACAUAUACUAAUGAUAUUCAACAAAGA